GAGGAGAGGAAUCCCGCCCUCAUGCAUUCAGAGGCCCAGAGAAGAUGAUGUGGAAGACAGCGCUGGACUUCACGGUUUCAGGGUUGCAUGCAAGGGUCUCUGGACAGGACAGAGAGGCAGUGUAAGGACUAGAGCACAGGUUCUGUGGUCAGAUCCACAGUGCAGACCGACGCUUCUGCUCACAAGCCCUGGGAAUGGAAAAGCAGUUGUUUGUGACCUCUACGCCCCAGCAGCUCCUCUACACCUGCUGAUAAAGACAAGUGAGGACAGGUGCAAAGCUUCCAGCCCUGGGAUGGCUCCGGCCCUGAACACUAUUCCAUUGUUUGGAUGGACUGCGCUUUACCCAUCACCCGCCGAAGGACAGCCUGGUUGCUUCCAAGUCUGGGCGAUUAUGAAAAAAGCUGCUAUGAACAUCACGUGCAGGUGUUUGCGUGAACAUAAGUGUUCAACUCCUUUGGGUAAAUACCACGGAGAGUGGUUGCUGGAUCACAUGGCAGGAGUAUGUUUAGUUUGGGAAGAAACUGCCAAACUGUCUUCCAAAGAGGCUGCGCCAUUUUGCACUCACACCAGCAACGGAUGAAGAGCUCCGGAGGCCCCACACCCGCGCCGGCAUCUGGUGUCGUCAGGGUUCUGGAUUUGGGCCGUUUCGAUAGAUGUGUGAUGUGUCUCGUAGACAACAUGUAGUUGGGUCAGGUUUCUUGAUCCACUCUGAUCAUCUCUGUCUUCGAAUUGGUCCAGUUAGACCAUCGAUAUUUAAAGUGACUACGGAUGGAGUUGGCGUAACAGCUACCAUAUUUUAACGGCUUCCUGUUUGUUACCCUUGUUCAUGGUGCCUGCUUUUGUCUUGUACUCUUUCUGCCUUCGGUGGUUUUAAUUAAACAUUUUCUAUCCUUCCACAUCUCUCUUUUCUUAACAUAUCAGAUAUACCCCUUUGUUUUACUAUUUUUAGUAGCUUCUCUAGAAUUUCCGAUACGCAUUUACAACUAAUGCAAGUUCACUUUCUCCGGGUAGAGCAAUACCGCAGAGGCAUCUAACUCCUGCCCCCUGUCCCAUGUCGUUGCUGCUGUCCUUGUCACUGACACGCAAGUGCGCACAGACACACGAUUGAACACAGGGUUGCUGUUACUAGUUUUGAAGAAACUGUUGUCAGUUAGAUCAAUUAAGAAUAAGAAAGAGGAAGGUUUUUAUUCUAUCUUUGCUUGUCCCUCCUUUCAUGCUCUUCCUUCCUUUCCGCAGAUCCGAGUCUCUGACCUGUAUUACUUUCCCCCUUUCUAAAGAAAUUCUUUUCACAUCUCUGGAAGGCAGGGCUAUGGCAACAGGCUUCCUCAGUUUUUGUGUGACUGAGGGAGCCUUUAUUUCUCCUUCCCUUUUGAAGGAUAAUUUCACGAGGCACAGAUUCUGAGGUUGGCGUUUUGAUUUUUCUUCUCUCAACACUUCAAGUCCUUCCCUCUCCUGUUUGCGUUGCUUUGAGAACAAGCGGGAUAUGAUUCUACCUUUGCGUCUAUGUAGGCAUCGUGGUUUUCUCCUGGGCUUCGUUCAGGAUUUUUCCUUUACCUUUGAUUUUCUGUAAUUGGAAACGGUGUGCCCAGAUAUUGUCUUCUCAAGGCACUUUAUUCAGCUCUGUGUUCUUUGAGCUUUCUGGAUCUGGGGUUCUCCGUCUGACACUCAUUUGGGGGAAAUUCUGAGUCAUUAUGGUUUCAAAUAUUUCUUCUGCUCCUUUCUCUCUUCUCCUUCUGGAAUUCCUGUUUCGUGUAUUUGCAGUUGCGCCUUAGUCUUUGGGUAUCCUGUGAGGGUUUCUUUAAUCUUUUUUUUUUCUUUGCUUUUAAGUUUGGCUGUUUCUGUUGACAUGCACUCAGCUUGGAGGUUCUCUCCUUCGCUGUGUCCACGCUACUCAUAAGUCUGUCAAGGACAUUCUUCGUUUCGGUUACAGUGGGUUUUGUCUCUAGAAUUUCUUCCGGGUUCUUUCGUAGAAUUUCCGUCUCUGCUCACAUUGCCCAUCUGUUCUUGCACACCAUCUACCUGGUCCAUUAACCAGUGUUGUUUUAAGUUCCUGGUUUUGUAAUUCCAACAUCCCUGCCACAUCUGAGUCUUGUUCUGAUACUUUCUCUGUCUUCUCUAAUUGUGUUUUUUUGCCUUCAAGUAUGUCUUGCAGUUUUUUCUUGAUGGCCAUACAUGAUGUUGAAGACAGUGCAGUGAACAGGCCGUUAGUAAUGCUGCUGUCAGGUGUGGGGAAGGAAAGCAACCUAUAGCCUGUGAUUAGGUCUCCAUCUUUGAUGAGCUUCAGCUCCGGACUGUGAACUUCACAAGGGUUUCUCUGGCUUUUUUUCUCUCCCUCUAGGUGGGACAGGAUGGCUACUGUGGGCUGGAGUUGGGUGUUUCCCUUCCAGUAGGUCAGCUAGGCUCUGGUAAACCACAGCACGUUAGGCUCUGGUUAACUGGUUCCUGCCGAGGGCAGACCUCAUGUAAAAGAACGCGGUGUAUUUCAAAAUGGUUC